GCGGCGGACGGGUGAGUAACACGUGGGCAACCUGCCUGUAAGACUGGGAUAACUUCGGGAAACCGAAGCUAAUACCGGAUAGGAUCUUCUCCUUCAUGGGAGAUGAUUGAAAGAUGGUUUCGGCUAUCACUUACAGAUGGGCCCGCGGUGCAUUAGCUAGUUGGUGAGGUAACGGCUCACCAAGGCAACGAUGCAUAGCCGACCUGAGAGGGUGAUCGGCCACACUGGGACUGAGACACGGCCCAGACUCCUACGGGAGGCAGCAGUAGGGAAUCUUCCGCAAUGGACGAAAGUCUGACGGAGCAACGCCGCGUGAGUGAUGAAGGCUUUCGGGUCGUAAAACUCUGUUGUUAGGGAAGAACAAGUACGAGAGUAACUGCUCGUACCUUGACGGUACCUAACCAGAAAGCCACGGCUAACUACGUGCCAGCAGCCGCGGUAAUACGUAGGUGGCAAGCGUUAUCCGGAAUUAUUGGGCGUAAAGCGCGCGCAGGCGGUUUCUUAAGUCUGAUGUGAAAGCCCACGGCUCAACCGUGGAGGGUCAUUGGAAACUGGGGAACUUGAGUGCAGAGAGAAAAGCGGA
rnacentral:rRNA from 2 species